UAUAAAACCUUGAUAAAAAUGCACUUUUAAGUACUAAUCAGCUGCAGGACAUAUUCCGACUUCUCUUUUGUUGCUACAAUUUGAACUUGAAAACGUCCAUUUUGAAUCUUGGAUUCUUAAUGAAAGUUUUAGGUCUAUGUCUUAGCUUUCCAUC
rfam:Populus trichocarpa isolate Nisqually-1 chromosome 5, whole genome shotgun sequence.